AACCACGUGGUCAACAGGCUAACUGUGGUCACCAGGCUAACAGGCUAACCGCCUGGUCCACCAGGCUAACUGUGGUCACCAGGCUAACAGGCUAACCGCCUGGUCCACCAGGCUAACUGGCUAACAGGCUAACCGCGUGGUACUGUCCUCACGGUAAGAAGCGGAGCAGCUGUUCCUGACCCCCCUCACCUCUCAAGGCUAGAGAACGGACAAGCCGCUGACCCCCAAUCAAUCAAAUCUCAAUCAGAUCGGCAGCUGUCACUGAGACUCCGGCCACGGAGUGGGCGGAACCCCGCCCACUUAUGUUCUACUGUACAGUCUGGAGACCCCCAGACCCCCCCCCCCCCCCCCCCCAGGGGUAGACCCCCUGCUACCCCCAGGUAGUCUGACCCCCCCGGGUGGAGACCCCCAGGGGGAGGCCUUGUGAAGCCUCCUCACGAGGCUCUGAGUGGUCCUUUGCUGUCGGUUGUAAAUGUCGUUGUUUGUACAUUAACGAUGCUUUCUAUGUUCAUAUCUUGUUUAACUUUACCAUGAGCUGGCAAAGUAAUAAAAUUAUAUUUAUUUUAAAAUA